GGUUCUCCUUCAAUCAUCUCAAUGGCCAUUAUCCUCAGCAACCAGAUAUCCACUUUGGGCCUGUAGGCUUUCCGUGUCACCAUUUCAGGCGCCAUCCAGUACGGGGUCCCCACCAUGGUGCUGCGCUUGCUCUGCUCGGGAGUGAUCUGGACACAGAAGCCAAAGUCAGCUGGAAAAGCAAAAGAGGAGGGAAGAAACAUAGUUAAAAAUCAGCAGGUUUCUCCAAAAACAACACGUAGUGAUGCCAGAGCUGUGGUACAAGCUAGCCUGUUGCACUGCCUGGGACAUUGCUGUUGCAAAGGAGGGGUGGUUUUGUGGUUAAUAAGGUGUUCAGGAGUAAGCCUCUAAAUCUGACUCACUGAGGCCGUGAAGAUCACAGAGCUGCUGACUUGUCUAUGUAAAGGAUGGUGAUCAGUAAAGAGCUGUAUAUGGAUGCUGUGAAACUUGGCAGUGCAGCAUUUUGCAGCUGUAACACACUGUGUAACACAUGGUCUCAAGCCUGUUCCUGGGUAUAGUUUGAGGGAGCC